rnacentral:lncRNA from 1 species
CACAAAGAAUUUGACACACGUAAACCACUAUUGAGAAAAGGACAACUCUUUUUUUUCCAGGAAUUUGGCACCUAACACAUUUGCAUCUAGAAGUAUGGAAUGAACUAUGCCAUAAAGAGCUCAAUAACCUGAACAAUCCAUCAGCAACCCAUGAGCCAGCAGAACAAAAGAUGACAGAACUGGGGCUGGCAGAGCAAGAGGAAGGAGCCUGCAUGUCUAAAGAGAGAAGUGAAGUUUAAGUACUGGAAAAAAGGAAAGUCUUCAGCCUUGGGAAUGUAAUAACUUGGGGUCAGCUGAGAACCCUGAGGAAGACUGACCCAAUCAGCUG